CAGCAACUCUGGCCACGAUUUUUGCCUAAGUGGCUUUCGCUGUUGUUUGCGAGAGUUUUUGGCCGCGGUCGGGACAUCCCGGACCGUAGGGUGGGCAGUAUGGUGCGGAGCUGCGGGCAACGGUGGACCCUAGCCGCAAUUGACAAUUUUAAUUGGAGCUACGGACGGGUUCAUCCUUAUCGAUCCACGCAUGAUUCACUCGGAUCUUGACAGCCAUGACCAAGAGUUUAGUUCAAUUCCAACCUGUCGGUGAAUUGCCACUUUUAUCCACUGAUAAUGGAUUAUUCUUUAUGCGCACAUAAGACGAUAUAUUUUUUAAGGAAGAAUAUUGAACUGUGCAAACAUAUAUUAUCUGUAUUUCCCAAACGUAAGUGCUCAUUAAUGGGUUAAUACACCGAUAAUCGCAUGUUGAAGAUGAAAGGUGUUUGCCGCCGAGAAGGAGAUUAAAACACUUCACUCUUUUGUUUCAUUUGUAAGUAAUAAUUCUCAGGCACUUUAUUGAGAUUGUACGUAUCUAUAAGUACGAUGUGGUAAUCCUACAUUAGCUACAUAUUUUAAAAAAGUACCUAAAUCACUA